CUGAACCACUCAGGGCUGCUCUCUGGUAGUACUCAGGGCCAGCUCGGUUGGCACAAGCUCGGAUAUGUUAGACGCCACUGCAGUGGGGCGAUUCUGGGCUGGUGAGGUCUGCUGUCCCCAGAAAGCCUACACUCUCACACAAACACACCCACCCACAUUCAUGCACACAUGCCCUCAUGCCCGUCCUCACACGAUGCACACACUCCUGUACACAAAUGUACAAUUCUCACGUUCUCACAAGCUCUUACACACACGCAGGCACGCACACACUUAACGUAUGUACACAUACCCUCUCCCUCGCUCCCUCACACACAAGCACAGACACACCCCUCUGAUGUCAGACUGCUCCCACCCAAGCAGGAAGAGUUUACUCCCGUGGAUUUCAGACUCCUGGUUCUCUGUUCAAAGGCCAGGGACUUUCCUGGUUUUAGCACUUAACAUCUCACAUAUCAGGAACACCCCUCUCCUCUAAAGUCCUGGGCAAAGUGGGAUGGCUGGUCACCCUAAGAGUCACCUUCUGCUUUCUCAGCCAUGCAGGGUCCUGUGAAUGAGAUUCCACCUGCUCUUCUGAGAGGGGCACAGAGGUGCUCUGAAGCCCCGGUGCUUGCUGACUUGGCAGAGCUGACAUGCCCAGACAAGCACUCACCGUGGCGGCAGGAGGCAUCCACACAGCUCAGUGGGCCCAUCCAGACAACUCAGGACAAUGUCUCCAUCGCAAGAUCUUUAACUCUAUCACAUCUGACAAGUCCCGUUUGCUAUGUAAGAAGAGGACCAAGGAGCAGAGUGGUGGGAACCCCGUUCUUCUAAUGCAGCAGCAGUGAUGUGGGCGACAAGGAAUCUGAAGGCGUGAGCCCAGCCAGAGGCAGAAUUGGCCAAGUCUGCCGGGCUUUAAUUAUUUUAGGGUAAGAAAUCUGUGCUUUGUAAACACGCCAGACGUCUAUGCUUUUGCAUA